rnacentral:rRNA from 1 species
UGGGCGCAAGCCUGAUNCAGCCAUGCCGCGUGUGUGAAGAAGGCCUUCGGGUUGUAAAGCCCUUUUGUCGGGGAGGAAGGNNNGNAGGUUAAUANCUUGNGGUAUUGACGUUACCCGCAGAAUAAGCACCGGCUAACUCCGUGCCAGCAGCCGCGGUAAUACGGAGGGUGCAAGCGUUAAUCGGAAUUACUGGGCGUAAAGCGCGCGCAGGCGGUUUUUUAAGUCNGAUGUGAAAUCCCCGGGCUCAACCUGGGAACUGCAUUGGAAACUGGC